rnacentral:rRNA from 1 species
AUGACGCCCCCAGAGGUCGAGGGGGGUGCGGCGGAACCGGAGGUUCAGGCCGAGCAGAUCAGCCGGGGCUGUGGAGCCGGAGAAGCAACGCCACCGUAUCCCUCCACUUUCCUAAGGGGACGCCGUCAGAGCUCUUGGGAGGGGACAUACAGAGACAAAUUGGUUGGUGAAGAAGAGGUGUCUGGCAGUGAAAUAAAGGGUUCUCCAAAUAGGACCUCUCAGCGGGAUUCAAAACGGGCUGCUAAGCGGCAACCAUGUGGCACUGAUAAUGACGGGGAUGGAAAGGCUGAUGACGUGUCUGAAAGUGCUAGUGAUCGACUAGAGGGGGGUGAAUAG